UACAGAGGGUGCGAGCGUUAAUCGGAAUUACUGGGCGUAAAGCGUGUGUAGGUGGUUGUAUAAGUUAGAUGUGAAAUCCCCGGGCUUAACCUGGGAAUUGCGUUUAAGACUGUAUAGCUAGAGUACUGUAGAGGAUAGUGGAAUUUCCAGUGUAGCGGUGAAAUGCGUAGAUAUUGGAAGGAACACCAGUGGCGAAGGCGACUAUCUGGAUAGAUACUGACACUGAGACACGAAAGCGUGGGGAGCAAACAGG
rnacentral:rRNA from 1 species